rnacentral:rRNA from 1 species
AACCGGAAGAAAUUCCGACUAAUACAGCAUAACACUCCUGAGGGACAUCCUUCGGGAGUCAAAGGAGGUAACUCCGGUGACGGAUGGGCAUGCGGCGCAUUAGGUAGUUGGUAGGGUAACGGCCUACCAAGCCGACGAUGCGUAGGGGUUCUGAGAGGAAGGUCCCCCACAUUGGAACUGAGACACGGUCCAAACUCCUACGGGAGGCAGCAGUGAGGAAUAUUGGUCAAUGGCCGGAAGGCUGAGCCAGCCAAGUCGCGUGAGGGAAUGAGGCCCUAUGGGUCGUAAACCUCUUUUGUCAGGGAGCAAAGGCGUCCACGUGUGGACGAGAGGAGAGUACCUGAAGAAAAAGCAUCGGCUAACUCCGUGCCAGCAGCCGCGGUAAUACGGAGGAUGCGAGCGUUAUCCGGAUUUAUUGGGUUUAAAGGGUGCGUAGGCGGAGUGUCAAGUCAGCGGUAAAAUUUCGGGGCUCAACCCCGUCGUGCCGUUGAAACUGACACCCUUGAGUGAGUGAGAAGUAAGCGGAAUGCGUGGUGUAGCGGUGAAAUGCAUAGAUAUCACGCAGAACGCCGAUUGCGAAGGCAGCUUACCGGCGCUCAACUGACGCUGAGGCACGAAAGUGCGGGUAUCGAACAGGAUUAGAUACCCUGGUAGUCCGCACAGUAAACGAU